AUUGAACGCUAGCGGGAUGCCUUACACAUGCAAGUCGAACGGAGUGGCGAACGGGUGAGUAAUGUAUCGGAACGUGCCCAGUCGCGGGGGAUAACUAACCGAAAGCGUAGCUAAUUCCGCAUACUAGUGGACCGGCCGAUAUCGGAUUAGCUAGUUGGUGGGGUAACGGCUCAACAAGGCGACGGUCCGUAGCUGGUUUGAGAGGACGACCAGCCACACUGGGACUGAGACACGGCCCAGACUCCUACGGGAGGCAGCAGUGGGGAAUUUUGGACAAUGGGGGAAAGCCUGAUGCAGCCAUCCCGCGUGUGUGAUGAAGGCCUUCGGGUUGUAAAGCACUUUUGGCAGGGAAGCGGUACCGGCAGAAGAAGCACCGGCUAACUACGUGCCAGCAGCCGCGGUAAUAC
rnacentral:rRNA from 1 species